rnacentral:rRNA from 1 species
UACGGAGGGUGCAAGCGUUAUCCGGAUUUACUGGGUUUAAAGGGAGCGUAGGUGGGUCGGUAAGUCAGUGGUGAAAUCUUCGAGCUUAACUCGGAAACUGCCAUUGAUACUAUCGAUCUUGAAUUAUCUGGAGGUAAGCGGAAUAUGUCAUGUAGCGGUGAAAUGCUUAGAUAUGACAUAGAACACCCAUUGCGAAGGCAGCUUACUACGGAUAUAUUGACACUGAGGCUCGAAAGCGUGGGGAGUC